rnacentral:lncRNA from 1 species
GUUAUCAUAAAACAAUAUCAGAGUGUAAUCCCAAAGAUCUCAUGUGCGGAAAACCAUAGUGUGAUGCGUUGUGAUCAAGCCGGCUCCUUUCCUUUAAGCACGAAGUACCUGAAACCAAAACUGAAAAUCGUAAGCACGAAGCUUAGUGAGUUCCCCCAUCAUACCACAUACCAUACAAUCACAUAUCAUACAUAUAUUGCCGGGCAUAUCUGGGUGCCCGACCUACCCCUUCGGUCCUCUCGACCGGAUACUGCCUACCAUAUCUGUGUGCUGGCCUCCCCUUCGGUCCUCACGACUGGAUACUGACUAGCAUAUCAGGGUGCUGGUCUCCCCUUCGGUCCUCACGACCGGAUACUGCCUAGCAUAUCUGGAUGCUGGCCUCCCCUUCGAUCCUCACGACCGAACACUGACUAGCAUAUCUGGGUGCUGGUCUCCCCUUCGGUCCUUACGACCGGAUACUGCCUAGCAUAUCUAGGUGCUCGCUUCCCCUUCGAUCCUUACGACCGGAUACUGCCUAGCAUAUCUGGGUGCUGGCCUCCCCUUCGGUCCUCACGACCGAAUACUGGGGACUAUUUCACCCCUACUGCUACCACAUAACACAUAUCACAUAGCAUCAUAUCAUACUAGCACAUAAACAUAACACAGGUAGUAGCAACCCUAGAUGAAUAUCACAGAGACAAUCAUCUAUCAUACAACUUCUACUGGUGGGCCGGCAUUGUGGCCGUAGACCCACCGCUACUGGAAGGUAACUCACCUCACACUCCUGAAAUCCAUGCCACUCUAGUAACAUAGUCAUCAUCCUGGGCAUGCCCUAGCCAUCCCAGCGUAGCCGUGACCAAUCUUCGCAAAGCCCUACAAUCCGCAGGUGAACGAAUUCCUCGCAACCAGAUCUCGUCUACUCCGUCUGAAGUCUGCUGUCUCGAGAUGAUCUAAAUCCCUAACAGACCACUCAUACUGAAUCAUUACCGUUGAGUCUAGUCCGUUUAUCCCUCGACCAACUACUCAACCUUUAAUAGCUUGAAGUUCCCACUAUAAAACAGGUUCACCGACCUAAUUAUCCAUGCAUAUCACUUAUUCUUGGUCGAGGCUCCGCUAAUCCCGCUGUGGGUGACUUGUCACUCCCCAAUAAACCAGCUAUUCCGUGUGCAUAUGCAACUAAACACACAUACUAUCACUGCCCAAACGUUAAAACUGCUCGAACACUGAACCGCCUGAAACAGUAUACGUUGCUACAUAGCUGCUUACCAAAAGCUACCAAGACCUCCUAGGUCUUAAUUCGUUUGCCAAUCCUCUGAAAUACUGGGUUUCCACCCGACUACGGAGCCAAAGGACUCCCUACUUAUUCGCCUCACAUGACUUCUGAGCGAAAUCCUUCUCUAGACCUAGUUGCCACUAGUUAUCAUGCCACUGUGACUCUACUAUUUCCUGAUCUAACCGAUCGGGUCCAUGCGUCGGAUCCUGACAUCAUCAAAUCCAAGACUAAAAGUGAUCGCUACCUAACCAAUGGUAGCCUUAUCUCACAUGUCCUGAAGCAGUCCGUUGCUCCUCUGAUCUCAUAACUGUAGUGGCGCUCCUACAGUCUUAUCACUGGCUUAACCAGAUCUAAUCCAUCUGGGUAAUUCCGAAAUCCAAUCCGUGGAUUUCCUUAUCCUUACUUCUACACCCGAACCAGUGGGUACUACUGUUCCUUCUGCGUCCUAACAACGCGCUCACACUAUCUACUAACCUAGUGAAUGUUGCGGCUACACCCGCAGUCUCACAACACUCUAUCAUUAUCUGAGCGUUAGUGAAUGCUACGGCUACCCCCCACAGUCUUACAACACUUUCCAUACCAUCUGACUACUAGUGAAUGCUACGGCUACCCCUGUAGUCUUAUAACACUUUCCACACUAUCUGACUGCUAGAGAAUGCUACGGCUACUCCCGUAGUCUUACAACACCUUCCAUACUAGGUCGAACACGCACUCGACCUAACACACAACUGAACUUGAGUCCUAACCGGAACUCAAAUCUGGUUCCCGAAACCUGUUAUCACGUGACCCCAUUGUAUCAGUACCACACCCACGCUCAUGAUCAAAGUGUCACCGUAAACCACGAAAUCAUCUACACCCUCUGGCAGGGUGAGAAUCGGUGCCUCGCACAACCGCUGUCUGAGAGUUUUGAAGGCUGCCUGCUGCUCAGGCCCGCAACGAAAGGUCUCCGACUUCUUGGUCAGUCGGGUCAAAGGAACCGCAAUCUCGUAGAAAUCCCAUAUAAAUCUCCGAUAAUAACUCGCUAGACCCAGCUGGCUCCGAAUCUCAGAUGGAGACCUUGGAGUCUCCCACUGCAUCACGACCUCUAUCUUGGCCGGAUCAACUAGAAUACCCUUCUGGUUGACAAGGUGGCCAAGAGAUUGCACCCCACGCAACCAGAACUCACAUUUGGAGAACCUUAUGAAAAGUCUCUCCCCCACUUAGAUUCGACUAAGUCCUCACGACAUGCGAGAAUUGAAGGAUUCCUAAUCUGUCUCGCUUUCUAAUAUCCCACUGAUGACAAAAUGUGCUUACCAAUGCUAGCGUUUAAUCACCGAUUAAACCUUAAGAUCGCCCAUCCUCUGAAAUCUUGAAGAGUACUCUUGAAAUCUGUUCCAUUCUGACACCUCAAUUCAUCUCCCAGUCUGACCACUAAAGACCUUAAUCUUCACUCUGGCUGAUGAAUCCUCGUUCUCAUUCCCAAAUAUCUCAUGUGCGGAAAACCAUAGUGUGAUGCCUUGCGAUCAAGCCGACUCCUUUCCUUUAAGCACGAAGUACCUAAAACCAAAACUAAAAACCGUAAGCACGAAGCUUAGUGAGUUCCCCCAUCAUACCACAUACCAUACAAUCACAUAUCAUACAUAUAUUGCCGGGCAUAUCUGGGUGCCCGACCUACCCCUUCGGUCCUCUUGACCGGAUACUGCCUACCAUAUCUGUGUGCUGGCCUCCCCUUCGGUCCUCACGACUGGAUACUGACUAGCAUAUCAGGGUGCUGGUCUCCCCUUCGGUCCUCCCGACCGGGUACUGGGGACUAUUUCACCCCCUACUACUACCACAUAACACAUAUAUCACAUAAUCUAUCUAGCAUGGCUGGGCNCGGAUACUGCCUAGCAUAUCUGGGUGCUGGCCUCCCCUUCGGUCCUUACGACCGGAUACUGCCUAGCAUAUCUGGGUGCUGGCCUCCCCUUCGGUCCUCACGACCGAAUACUGGGGACUAUUUCACCCCUACUGCUACCACAUAACACAUAUCACAUAGCAUCAUAUCAUACUAGCACAUAAACA